rnacentral:rRNA from 1 species
GUUACAGAUGUGAAAGACCCCGGGCCGUCAACCUCGGGAAUUAGCAUUUGUAAACUAGGCAGACUAGAGUACUGUAGAGGGGGGUAGGAAUUUCUAGGUGUAGCGGUGAAAUAGCGUAGAGAUCUGAAGGAAUACCGGUGGCGAAGGCGGCCCCCUCGGACAGAUACUGACACUCAGAUGCGAAAGCGUGGGGAGCAAACAGGAUUAGAUACCCUGGUAG